rnacentral:misc_RNA from 1 species
UCUCCGUAGGUGAACCUGCGGAGGGAUCAUUACAAGAACGCCCGGGCUACGGCCUGGUUAUUCAUAACCCUUUGUUGUCCGACUCUGUUGCCUCCGGGGCGACCCUGCCUUCGGGCGGGGGCUCCGGGUGGACACUUCAAACUCUUGCGUAACUUUGCAGUCUGAGUAAACUCAAUUAAUAAAUUAAAACUUUUAACAACGGAUCUCUUGGUUCUG